GGGAUUGUAGCUCAGUGGUAGAUAGAGUGCUUGCCUCCCAAGUGUGAGACCCUGGGUUCAAUCCUCAGCACCA
rnacentral:tRNA from 1 species